rnacentral:rRNA from 1 species
AAGAGUUUGAUCAUGGCUCAGGAUGAACGCUAGCGGCAGGCCUAAUACAUGCAAGUCGAACGAGAUUGAAGAGCUUGCUUUUCAUGAAAGUGGCGCACGGGUGCGUAACGCGUAUGCAACCUACCUUAAUCAGGGGGAUAGCCUCUCGAAAGAGAGAUUAACACCGCAUAAAAUCACAAGCUGGCAUCARCAAAUGAUCAAAUAUUUAUAGGAUUAAGAUGGGCAUGCGUGACAUUAGCUAGUUGGUAAGGUAACGGCUUACCAAGGCUACGAUGUCUAGGGGAUCUGAGAGGAUGACCCCCCACACUGGUACUGAGACACGGACCAGACUCCUACGGGAGGCAGCAGUAAGGAAUAUUGGUCAAUGGGGGCAACCCUGAACCAGCCAUGCCGCGUGCAGGAAGACGGCCCUACGGGUUGUAAACUGCUUUUAUACGGGAAUAAACCUCUUUACGUGUAGAGAGUUGAAUGUACUGUAAGAAUAAGGAUCGGCUAACUCCGUGCCAGCAGCCGCGGUAAUACGGAGGAUCCAAGCGUUAUCCGGAUUUAUUGGGUUUAAAGGGUGCGUAGGCGGCCUAUUAAGUCAGGGGUGAAAGACGGUGGCUCAACCAUCGCAGUGCCCUUGAUACUGAUGGGCUUGAUUACACUUGAGGUAGGCGGAAUGUGACAAGUAGCGGUGAAAUGCAUAGAUAUGUCACAGAACACCAAUUGCGAAGGCAGCUUACUAAGGUGUUAAUGACGCUGAGGCACGAAAGCGUGGGGAUCAAACAGGAUUAGAUACCCUGGUAGUCC